GACGAAGUGCCGGAGUGGUUAUCGGGUAUGCCUUGAAUUUUCUUCACAGCAUAUGACUUCUGGUCGCGCAAGUUCGAAUUUUGUCUUCGUCG